CGAUCACGUUCAGAGUUUGAUCCUGGCUCAGGACGAACGCUGGCGGCGUGCUUAACACAUGCAAGUCGAACGAUGAAGCCUAGCUUGCUGGGUGGAUUAGUGGCGAACGGGUGAGUAACACGUGAGUAACCUGCCCAAGGCUCUGGGAUAAGCGCUGGAAACGGUGUCUAAUACUGGAUAUGACGGCUGGCCGCAUGGCUGGUUGUGGAAAGAUUUUUCGGCCUUGGAUGGACUCGCGGCCUAUCAGCUUGAUGGUGGGGUAAUGGCCUACCAUGGCGACGACGGGUAGCCGGCCUGAGAGGGUGACCGGCCACACUGGGACUGAGACACGGCCCAG
rnacentral:rRNA from 1 species